CAGGCCCGCGGGGCCCUGGCCCCCGUCUGCGUUCCGCGGGCGAUGCCUGCAGCAGCUGACUCUGCGGGGACGGGCACUGCAGCCGCAUCCUGCCUGGGCCGUGACCGAGGGGAAGCGCAGUGACAGGGCACAGCGGGUGCAGGGGUGCCCCUCGCUCUAUUGCGUCCCCCCGGGGUGGGAGCAAAGGUCCCGGCACGGCUUCCCACACGUGGCCACAUUCCUGCCCUGGCUCUGGAGCGGAGGCUGCCGGGAUGGAGGGAUGGAGAGAUGGGGCAGGCGAGGGGCCUCCUCCCGGGGCUGCCCUCCCCCAGCUGCUGCUGGGGUGGGGACGUGGGUUCCUGCUCCACUAAGCCCUGCAGCUUUUCUCCUCUAAAGCCUGAUUACUCCGGCGGUGCCUGUGCGUGCGUGCGUGUGUGUGCUCGGGAGGGGAGGAGCAGGAAUUUCACAACAAGUGUUUGCAACCACCCUGGGCCCAGCUGCCCCAGAGCUGCCCCAGGGCUGCGGCAUCACCCCUGUGCCGGGGAGUGUGCCGGGGGGGCUCUGCGUUGGCACUGAGCCCCAGGGAGUGCAGGCAUGGCAUGCAGGGCCUUGGCAGGAGGUCAGCACUGGAGACUGCAGGGGGAUGCUGCAGUCGGAAGGUGAAGCUGUGGCUUCUUGUGGGGCUUUGGAAGUGAGUGCCACAGCUCCCUAUGGGCUUUGGAGGUGGGGCUUAGAGGUAGGCACCAUGGCUGUCUGUGAGGUUUGGAGAUGGGCACCAUAGCUGCCCAUGGGGUUUGGAGGUGGAUGCUGCAGAGAUUCAGAGGUGGAUGCUGCAGGUCUUGGUGGGGUUUGGAGGUGGACAUUGCAUCUCUCCAUGGAAGGCAGACACUGCAAAGGCUUUGGAGGUGGAUGCUGCAGCUCCCUUACGGAGUUGGGAGGUAGAUGCUGCAGGAGCUUGGAGGCAGUUGGUGUAGGUUCCUGCAGGGUCUGGAGGUGGAUGCUGCAGCUGCCCGUGGGGCGUCCCUUCCCCUGCCCAGUGCUGGUGUGCAGUGCUGGCCCAGGGACAGGGGUCCAGGAGGAGGGUGAUGGGUGCAGCCAAGCCCGAGUUGUAUGAGCAGCAUCAUCUAGGGGGGGUAGCAGCCCUGCACCCCUCUGCCUCCCUGGAGCCCGGGUUGGGAGAGCAGGCAGCAGCCCAGGGCAGGGAUGCCGCGGUCCCGGCAGCAUGGGGCCGCACGGCGCCAGAGCAGAGCGGUAGAUGAGCCGCGUGACUUCCGUGGGGCCGUGGCCCCGGGGGGAGCAGAGCCGGGCACAGGGCGCCUUUCAGCACGGCAGAGCCAUGGCGGCCAGGCCGGAGCUUCCCCUGUGACCCCCCGCUCCUGCCUGCCCGCAGACCCUUUGAGAGAGCAGCGGAACGGAUCCGCACCGAGGUCCGUUCCCUGGAGCUCCUUUGUUCGCGGCGCUGAGGCUUCGGUGGCAGGGGGAGGCAGAGGCGCCGUGCAAAGCCCGCUGGCUCCCGCCGGCACUAACUCUCUUUUCUUCUGUGCUUGCAGAGCGACGCGUCGAGCUCCCGAGGCGCAGAGCAUGUCCUUGCCCUGAGCCAGCACCGCAGCCGCUGCCGCCGGCGCCGCAGCAGCCGCCCCGUUGAUGCGUGUUCCCGCCUGAGCUUCCCCGGUGGCGGCAGGCCGGUGCCACCCCACAGCGGCCUUGGGGGUCCUUCGCUUCGGCCUCGGGGGUGGGGUUUGGGGUUGGUUUGGGUUGGGGUUUUUUUUUUUUUCCUUUCCUUUUUAUUUUUUGUUUCCUUUUGGGUUUGGUCUCGGUGUCGGGCUCCGGGCACCAUGUCAAACUCGGGCUCCCACCAAGACGCUGGGAACAAGCCAGAGACGGAAAAAAAUAACCAAGAUGACUCUCAACCCCCCGUCAGCUCCGAGAGGAGGAACAAAAGUGGAAUAAUAAGUGAACCUUUGAACAAAAGUCUUAAGAAGUCCCGUCCGCUCUCCCACUAUUCCACCUUUGGUAGCAGCAGCUCGGUAAGCGAACAUUCAGAGAAAGGCAACCCCUUAGCUAACGGCAACGAAGCGACUGUGGAUAAAAGUCAUUCUACCUCAAAGCACAAAAACAUCUCUAGUAUGCUGAGCAAAUUAGACCGGGUGUCGGAGAUCUCCGCGGAAGGACAGAUCGCCCUACAGCAGUUUGCUCAGUCGACAGAAAUGCUCAAAAGAGUGGUACAGGAGCAUCUUCCUCUGGCGAGCGAGCACGGGACUGGUCUCUCCGACAUGGAGGCGGUCUCAGCUGCAGAGACAAUGAACGGCCCCUCUGAUUUCCCUUACCUGGGGGCUUUUCCCAUCAACCCCGGCCUUUUCAUUAUGACCCCCGCCGGCGUGUUUCUGGCAGAGAGCGCGCUCCAUAUGGCUGGCUUGGCAGAGUACCCCAUGCAGAACGAGUUGGCAUCUGCCAUCAACUCGGGGAAAAAGAAACGGAAAAGAUGCGGCAUGUGCCCGCCGUGCCGAAGACGGAUAAACUGCGAGCAGUGCAGCAGUUGUAGGAACCGCAAAACUGGCCACCAGAUUUGCAAAUUCCGAAAGUGUGAGGAACUCAAAAAGAAGCCUUCUGCAGCACUGGAGGUAACCGGCCCCUCUCAGGCACCCUAACCCCUCCUCGGGCCGCGCUCCUGGGUUCGGAUCUUGCCCUAGAUAAUAAAACACCUGAAGGUGAUGCUUCCUACAGGAGCCGCGUUCAGAUGGUUCCAGUAGGAACGGGGAUCCCAAAGCUCUGUCAUCCA